rnacentral:rRNA from 1 species
GAUCCUGGCUCAGGAUGAACGCUGGCGGCGUGCCUAACACAUGCAAGUCGAACGGAGCUGCCUUGAUGAAGUCUUCGGAUGGAUUUAAAGCAGCUUAGUGGCGGACGGGUGAGUAACGCGUGGGUAACCUGCCUCACACUGGGGGAUAACAGUUAGAAAUAGCUGCUAAUACCGCAUAAGCGCACGGUUCCGCAUGGAACAGUGUGAAAAACUCCGGUGGUGUGAGAUGGACCCGCGU